ensembl:miRNA
CCAGUUAAAUUUUAGUUUCAGAUAAACAACAAAUAAAUAUUUAGUAUCAGUGUGUCCCAUACAAUAUUUGGGAAAUACUUAUACUAAAAUUAUUUGUUAGUUAUGUGAAAUUAAAAUUUAACUGGGUGUCCUGUA